rnacentral:lncRNA from 1 species
UGAUCGUGAAAGAGUUGAGGAUUUUGAUCACACAAGUCGAGAAUCUAACUAUUUCGGCCUUUCCCCAGAAGAGCGCAGAGAGAAGCAAGCUAUAGAAGAAUCCCGUUUACUCUAUGAGAUUCAGAACAGAGAUGAACAGGCUUUCCCAGCCCUUUCCAGCUCAUCAGUCAGUCAGUCAGCUUCUCAGAGUAGCAAUCCAUGUGUCCAGAGAAAAUCAUCACAUGUAAGUGAUAGAAAAGGAAGCAGGCGGAGAAUGGAUACAGAAGAACGAAAAGACAAAGACUCUAUUCAUGGACAUAGUCAGUUGGAUAAAAGACCCGAACCAAGCACAUUGGAGAAUAUUACUGAUGAUAAAUAUGCAACAGUUUCAUCACCAUCAAAGUCAAAGAAGUUAGAGUGCCCUUCUCCUGCAGAACAAAAGCCAGCAGAACAUGUGUCUUUGUCAAAUCCAGCUCCCCUUCUAGUUUCUCCAGAGGUACAUCUAACUCCUGCGGUGCCUUCUUUACCAGCCACUGUGCCAGCCUGGCCAAGUGAACCUACAACUUUUGGACCAACAG